GACGAACGCUGGCGGCGUGCUUAACACAUGCAAGUCGAACGGAAAGGCCCUGCUUUUGUGGGGUGCUCGAGUGGCGAACGGGUGCGUAACACGUGAGUAACCUGCCCUUGACUUUGGGAUAACUUCAGGAAACUGGGGCUAAUACCGGAUAGGAGCUCCUGCUGCAUGGUGGGGGUUGGAAAGUUUCGGCGGUUGGGGUUGGACUCGCGGCUUAUCAGCUUGUUGGUGGGGUAGUGGCUUACCAAGGCUUUGACGGGUAGCCGGCCUGAGAGGGUGACCGGGUACAUUGGGACUGAGAAACGGCCCAGACUCCUACGGGAGGCAGCAGUGGGGAAUAUUGCACAAUGGGCGGAAGCCUGAUGCAGCAACGCCGCGUGCGAGAUGACGGCCUUAGGGUUGUAAACCGCUUUCGCCUGUGACGAAGCGUGAGUGACAGUAAUGGGUAAAGAAGCGCAGGCUAACUACGUG
rnacentral:rRNA from 1 species